rnacentral:lncRNA from 1 species
AUGUGCCUGUCUCCUGUCCUACAACACCUCUACAACCUGAGCCUUGGUCAGGAGAGAAUACCGGUGCUUUGUAAGACUUCCUGCCUGGUUCCUGUUCCAAAGAAGUCGACACCAUCAGACCUCAAUGACUAUAGACCAGUGGCCCUCACAUCUUACGUCAUGAAGGUGCUGGAGAGACUGGUUUUGGCCAACCUGAGGCCGCAGGUGAGAGCCCUGCUAGACCCUCUGCAAUUUGCUUACCAGCCCCACUUGGGAGUUGAUGACGCUGUCAUCUACCUGCUGCAACGAGCCCAUUCGCACCUGGAUAGUGGAGGAGGCACUGUGAGAAUCACAUUCUUUGAUUUCUCUAGUGCUUUUAACACCAUUCAGCCACUGCUACUGGGGGAGAAGCUGCGGGUGAUGGGUGUAGACAACACAAUGAUCUCCUGGAUUACUGACUACCUGACAGGCAGGCCACAGUUUAUCCGUAUGGGCAGUGUUCUGUCUGAUGCGGUGGUUAGUGAUACAGGAGCUCCACAGGGGACUGUACUGUCUCCUUUCCUGUUCACCUUAUACACCACUGACUUUCAGUACAACACCGGGUCGUGUCACCUGCAAAAGUUUUCUGACGACUCGGCUGUUGUUGGGUGUAUAAGUGAGGGACAGGAGGAGGAGUACAGGGCACUGGUAGACAACUUUGUGGAGUGGACUGGACAGAAUCACCUGCGGCUGAACAUCAGCAAGACCAGAGAGAUGGUGAUAGAUUUCAGGAAGAAGAGGAAGACGGCUUUCCAACCUCUGUGCAUUCUGGGAAAGGAUGUGGAGGCGGUGGAGGAUCACAAGUACCUGGGUGUUACCAUCAACCACAGACUGGACUGGAGAUCUAACACUGAAGCUGUUUACAAGAAGGGGAUGAGCAGACUUUACUUCCUGAGGAAGCUGAGAUCCUUCAACGUGUGCAGCAAGAUGUUGGAGAUCUUUUAUCAGUCUGUGGUGGCCAGUGUACUUUUCUUUGCUGUGGUUUGUUGGGGAAGCAGCAUUGGAGCCAGCGACACCAACAGACUCAACAAACUGAUCAGGAAGGCUGGCUCUGUGAUUGGCUGCAAACAGGACACUCUGGAGGCUGUGGUGGAGAGGAGGACACUGAAAAAACUGUUAUUCAUCAUGGAUAAUCCUCUCCACCCUCUCCAACUCACACUGGUCAGACAGCGGAGCACCUUCUCCGGAAGACUGCUUCAGCUUCGCUGUCGUAGCAAUAGAUACAAGAAAUCUUUCCUGCCACAAUCCAUCACAUUAUACAAUAACUCUCUCACCUCUGCCUGA